rnacentral:rRNA from 1 species
UACGGAGGGUGCAAGCGUUGUCCGGAUUUAUUGGGUUUAAAGGGUGCGUAGGCGGGUCUGUAAGUCAGUGGUGAAAUCCAGCAGCUCAACUGUUGAAUUGCCAUUGAUACUGCGGAUCUUGAGUGGGAUCGAGGUGACAGGAAUGUGUGGUGUAGCGGUGAAAUGCAUAGAUAUCACACAGAACACCGAUUGCGAAGGCAAGUCACUAGGUUUCAACUGACGCUGAGGCACGAAAGCGUGGGGAUCAAACAGG